rnacentral:rRNA from 1 species
UACGUAGGGGGCAAGCGUUGUCCGGAAUUAUUGGGCGUAAAGAGCGCGUAGGCGGUCCGAUAAGUCGGCUGUGAAAGUCGGGGGCUCAACCCUCGAAUGCCGGUGGAUACUGUCGGGCUAGAGUGCGGAAGAGGCGAGUGGAAUUCCUGGUGUAGCGGUGAAAUGCGCAGAUAUCAGGAGGAACACCAAUUGCGAAGGCAGCUCGCUGGGACGUUACUGACGCUGAGACGCGAAAGCGUGGGGAGCAAACAGG